GAUGGAGCCCCUUCUUCUGACAUAAUUGAUUCCUUCCGCAGACAGCGUCUCUGCUAUUGUAGGCCCAAAUUGAGGGUGUAUGGCUGACUAUGAAACACCUCCGGAUGCUUGCUGAAAGGAGCCAGUUGCAUUUUGGACCUCAUUCUCCGUCGAUAACAAAUGGAACAGACGGGCUGCACGGAUCCUUCUUUUCCCACCGGCCUCCUGCCGGACAUCAGCAGAUAAGCCCAGUUAAUGUUUUAAUAAUGAUUAUCCGGUCGAGAGGAAAUUGGGUAUUGGGCAGUGUCAUUUCUGAAGCGGCCAGCAGAACUCGGAAUACAGUCAUCUCGACCAACACCUUAUCACUCGAUCUCUGUGAUUUGAUUUCCAA